ACGCAUGCGCGAGUUUCGAGACGGCAGUACGCAUGCGCGACAUUAUGGACAGCAGUACGCAUGCGCGCUUAUAGACAGCGUGGCAGCAGAUACCGUGGAAACAACUCCGCCGCCGCCUUUUAGCGGACUGCCUGGGACUGUGGGCGCGCAUCCCCUUCUCUCUUUCUUUUCUUGGCACAGGAAGGUGGGGGGAAGAAGGGGAGACGACAAAGAAAAGCAAGGAAAACUCCGACAAACCCUCCAACCCCGUGCUAAAUGCUUUGGUAUACCUGUAAAUAAAUGAAUACAUAAC
rnacentral:lncRNA from 7 species